ACUCACCACACACAAGCAGUUUAAAAAUGAGUGCAUCUGUAAGUAUGUAAAACCCCACAUGGGGUGGGGAGGCUGUAGAGAACCUGUAAAUAUCUAUAAAUCUGUAGAAUAUGUACAUUUUUACAGAGCUAAUGAUACAAAAUGGAGGAAUUUUCAGUGUGGUAGAACUGCUUAUGGGUGCACUGUACUUCAUUCCUCAUGUGAAGUAGCAUUUUUGUGGCGAAGCCUUCUCCUGCCUUGACUCCAAGUGAGCCUUUCUCUGAUGCACUUGAGCAACAUUGCCAGGGAGUGUAGCAAGGAUCAGUGGCCCGGUGGACUCUCAUUGUGCCCACGGCUUGCUGGCAACAGUUGAUGUUUCUGUUCAUUAUAAUCUUUUUGGUUAUUCUAGCCCUUCUAGCGGGUGGGGAGCUGUGGAAGUCGGUAUCAGUUGCUUCCUUGUCUUCCUUUCAUUUUGAUGCUCUAAGCCAUGAGUCGAACGAAAAUGAUGUUUGAAUGUAAAUGUCCUGGAGCAGAAUAAAACUCGUCGGCUUGGAUCUGCAGCUUGUGCCGGCCCCGGCCUUGGUCCCUGGUCCCCAGCUGGUAGUGUUGCUUCUCAGCGGGCUUGCAGUGCUCGUCCGCCUCGUGCCCUCCGACCGUGGAUUGGUCGGUUCUUGGGGAGCUCCACUCUCUGGGACCCGGUCCUGCACAGCGAGGAACAUCCUCGUCCACGGUGCUCGACCUGCAGCCCGAGUGAUGCCCAAUGGAAACCCAAGUGGAGAGCUGAAAGACGGUGCUAUUGUCAGACCUGCUUGUUUGCUGAACAAGCACUUAGUUUUGUCAAUAAAUGUCUUUUC